AUCUGGGCGGCGGAAUUCAGGAUGACUGGCGUGCUCUCGCGGUGCGUCGGUCGUUUGAUAUUUCCGUCGCCAACCUACCGCAGACGUCGCGACCUGUUCGCGGUCGGUCCCUGCUCGGAGGAGCCGCGUUCGAGCUCGUUGUGUGCGCGUUUCGGCGUGUCACACGGCGAAGGCGCGGAUCUCUGACUGGCCGACGGACAGUAUGCCAACGGUGUCCGGUGUCGUCGUCUUGUACGCGCGGCAUCGGUACCGGUCAGCGACGAAUUCUUCGGGCCUCUUUCCGACCCGUCUUGAAACACGGACCAAGGAGUCUAACAUGCGCGCGAGUCGCGGGGUAUCGAGCGUACUUCGGUGCGCUCGUUAUGUUGCGAAACCCGUACAUGUCGAAGGCGUAAUGAAAGUGAAUGGGGAAGAUGGUGUUCCGAGUACACGUUCCGUGGUCGUUGGCAUCGCGGCCGGACACCCGCAUUCCCGGGGCGUCUCAACGGCCCGUCGUUGAUGCGGACAGUCGUCUCUCGGGGCGGCUGUCGGUCGGCGACGAACCGA
rnacentral:rRNA from 1 species